rnacentral:lncRNA from 1 species
UAAAACUGAGCAACACAUCACGAAGUAUACUUUACGAGGCUCUUUAUUCACUGCACACACAUCAUUCAUUCACAGAGAAAAAAAAAAAAAAAACGCAUUCAAAGCCAGCUUUGAUGAUGCUACUGCCAGGUGACACACAUCGAUCCCUUCCCAUAUAAAUUAUUACAGUGCUUGACAAGUCUGGAGAUCUCAAAAUACACCAGGCAGAAACAAUUAUUUUUCUCGCUCUGCACAGUUUCGUGCACAUUCUCUUUCCCAUGGCUACCUACUGUGCCACAAUUCAUUAGGUGACAUCACCCACACAACUUGAUAAAAUACAAAGACUCAGACAAGACAUAAUGCUGUGUAAAGCAAUCGCUAUUUUGCAUUCAUAGUCAAAGCAAUGCUGAUUUAUUCCCGGACACACAUCUAGCAGCGUAAUAUUUUGAAAGCGUCAGCAUAAUCGUGCCACAUUGAAUACUGUUAGAUGGGGUAGCAAUUUUUGUUUGCUUUUUUUUUUCUUGCCAGCAUGUCUUUGGGAGCUUCUCCAGCUUGCCACAAACACCAGUAAAGAAAACAAACAAAAAACAAGAAAUGCUAUAUGCCUGGUCCUGCAAGCCAAUAUAUUCGAGCAAGUGACAUGCAACAGGUUCCCUUUAAGGUAUUCCAUCAACCACACUAAGCCUUGUCAAAGCAAAAAAACAAAACAAAAUAGGCCAAUAACAAGGGAUGCCCUCGCUGCUGAGACAGAACAGCAGAUACACAUACCGGCAAUGUUCUAAACAAAAGUGGCACAUUUGAAACAUUCUAGAAUUGGCUAUGCCUCUCCGGCCAAAUAAAAAAAGCGGUAUACUGGAAUAACAACAGCAGUCUCCCAACUGUGUCAGUUAUAAAUGGCAAGAUUGGUAUGGCCAAAGCGUAAAAAGAUA